rnacentral:rRNA from 1 species
CAGCCGCCACGGGAAUACGUAGGGUGCGAGCGUUAAUCGGAAUUACUGGGCGUAAAGCGGGCGCAGACGGUUACUUAAGCAGGAUGUGAAAUCCCCGGGCUCAAUCUGGGAAUUGCGUUCUGAACUGGGUGGCUAGAGUGUGUCAGAGGGGGGUAGAAUUCCACGUGUAGCAGUGAAAUGCGUAGAGAUGUGGAGGAAUACCGAUGGCGAAGGCAGCCCCCUGGGAUAGCACUGACGUUCAUGCCCGAAAGCGUGGGUAGCAAACAGGAUUAGAUACCCCCGUAGUCCCUGUCUCUUAUAC